GCCUACGGGAGGCAGCAGUGGGGAAUAUUGCACAAUGGGGGAAACCCUGAUGCAGCGACGCCGCGUGAGUGAAGAAGUAUUUCGGUAUGUAAAGCUCUAUCAGUAGGGAAGAAAAUGACGGUACCUGACUAAGAAGCUCCGGCUAACUACGUGCCAGCAGCCGCGGUAAUACGUAGGGAGCAAGCGUUAUCCGGAAUUAUUGGGUGUAAAGGGUGCGUAGACGGGAGUCUAAGUUAGUUGUGAAAUCCCUCGGCUCAACUGAGGAACUGCAACUAAAACUGGACAUCUUGAGUGCAGGAGAGGAA
rnacentral:rRNA from 1 species